UGUUGGUAAGGUAACGUUAAACCAUGC
rnacentral:sRNA from 1 species